rnacentral:tRNA from 1 species
AAUUGUGUGGCCUAUCGGAUAAGGCGUCGGACUUUUAUGAUAAAAUUAAAGUCAUCUGAAAAAUUGCGGGUUCGAAUCACGCCGAUUA